GCGCACCAGUCGAAAAACUUUACAAUGUGCGAAAGCACGAUAAGGGAACUCUGAGUGCCUCCUAAGGAGGCUGUUCUGAUGUCUAAAAAGCAACAGAAGUAAGGGCUGGGUAAGACCGGUGCCAGCCGCCGCGGUAACACCGGCAGCCCAAGUGGUAGCCACGUUUAUUGGGUCUAAAGCGUUCGUAGCCGGCCAGGUAAGUUCCUUGGUAAAUUUAGCCGCUUAACGGUUAAGCUUUCAGGGAAUACUGCUUGGCUUGGGACUGGGAGAGGUCAGAGGUACUCCGGGGGUAGGGGUGAAAUCUAUUAAUCCCUGGGGGACCACCGGUAGCGAAGGCGUCUGACCAGACCAGGUCCGACGGUGAGGGACGAAGGCUAGGGGCGCGAACCGGAUUAGAUACCCGUGUAGU
rnacentral:rRNA from 1 species